rnacentral:rRNA from 1 species
CCUGGUAGACCGGGAUAACAGCUGGAAACGGCUGCUAAUACCGGAUACGCUCUGCUGGACGCAUGUUCAGCAGAGGAAAGCUUUAUCGCUAUCAGAUGGGUCCGCGUCCCAUUAGCUAGUUGGUGGUGUAAGAGACCACCAAGGCGACGAUGGGUAGCCGGCCUGAGAGGGCGACCGGCCACACUGGGACUGAGACACGGCCCAGACUCCUACGGGAGGCAGCAGUGGGGAAUCUUCCGCAAUGGGCGAAAGCCUGACGGAGCAACGCCGCGUGAGGGAAGAAGGCCUUCGGGUUGUAAACCUCUGUCUUCAAGGAAGAAGUGAUGACGGUACUUGGAGAGGAAGCCCCGGCUAACUACGUGCCAGCAGCCGCGGUAAAACGUAGGGGGCGAGCGUUGUCCGGAAUUACUGGGCGUAAAGGGCGCGUAGGUGGUACAUUAAGUCAGAGGUGAAAGAUCGGGGCUCAACCGCGAGAUUGCCUCUGAUACUGGUGGACUUGAGUGCAGGAGAGGGGAGCGGAAUUCCCAGUGUAGCGGUGAAAUGCGUAGAUAUUGGGAGGAACACCGGUGGCGAAGGCGGCUCUCUGGACUGUAACUGACACUGAGGCGCGAAAGCGUGGGGAGCAAACAGGAUUAGAUACCCUGGUAGUCCACGCCGUAAACGAUGAGUGCUAGGUGUUGGAGGUAUCGACCCCUCCAGUGCCGUAGUUAACACAAUAAGCACUCCGCCUGGGGAGUACGGUGGCAACACUGAAACUCAAAGGAAUUGACGGGGGCCCGCACAAGCGGUGGAGUAUGUGGUUUAAUUCGACGCAACGCGAAGAACCUUACCAGGGCUUGACAUCCUCUGACGGUUCUAGAGAUAGGGCUUUCAUCCUUCGGGAUGACAGAGAGACAGGUGGUGCAUGGUUGUCGUCAGCUCGUGUCGUGAGAUGUUGGGUUAAGUCCCGCAACGAG